GAUGAAGAACGUAGUGAAAUGCGAUAAGUAGUGUGAAUUGCAGAAUUCAGUGAAUCAUCGAAUCUUUGAACGCACAUUGCGCCUUCUAGUAUUCUGGGAGGCAUGCCUGUUUGAGCGUCAUUAAACCUCUCUCAAGUAUGAUUACUUGGAUGUGAAGGAAGAGUACCUUAAACUUAAGGAGUGUUCUCCUUUGAAAUUGAUUAGCAGAUGGUAAUGUUAUUAAAUCCCUGAUGUUGUAAGAAAUAACAGUGGUUUCGUAGACUAUUAUCUAGCUUUAAAUUAUAAUUUUUAUUAUGGUUGACCUCAAAUCAGGUAAGGAUACCCGCUGAACUUAAGCAUAUCAAUAAGCGGAGGA
rnacentral:misc_RNA from 1 species